rnacentral:misc_RNA from 1 species
GAUGAAGAACGUAGCGAAAUGCGAUAAGUAAUGUGAAUUGCAGAAUUCAGUGAAUCAUCGAAUCUUUGAACGCACCUUGCGCUCCUUGGCAUUCCGAGGAGCAUGCCUGUUUGAGUGUCAUUAAAUUCUCAAGACCUGUCUGCUUUUUUGAUAGGUAUUGGAUUUUGGGGGUUGCAGGCUGUUUCAAAUAAAUAGCCUUGCUCUCCUUGAAUGUAUUAGUGGAGAAAAGCCAUUGAACUCCAUUGGUGUGAUAAAACCUAUCAAUGCCAGGAGCAAUAUCACUACUUCUCUCUGCUGUCUAACUGUGACUGUCUGUAUUAAUUAGUAUGGAUGGGUACAACUUGACCAACUUGACCUCAAAUCAGGUAGGACUACCCGCUGAACUUAAGCAUAUCAAUAAGCGGAGGA